rnacentral:sRNA from 1 species
GGAAAAGCUCCUCCCAACCUCCCUCCUGGGGUCCCGCCGUUGUUGCCUAAUCCGUAUAUUAUGGCUCCAGGGCUGUUACAUGCCUACCCGGUAAGUGGGACUAAAGGAUCUUCUUCAAAAGAAUGAGGAUGAAUGUUCUGUUGAAUUAGCUUGUCUCUUGGCUCCUUGUUUUGCUAACAUCAUGACCAGUUCCUGUUAUUGCUAUAUGUCUGUAUCUUUCAGCCACAAGUAUAUGGUUAUGAUGACUUGCAGAUGCUUCAGACGAGAUUUCCAUUGGAUUACUACAGCAUCCCAUUUCCCACACCCACUACUCCGCUGACUGGGAGGGAUGGUAGCCUGGCCAGCAACCCUUAUUCUGGUGACCUCACAAAGUUUGGCCGUGGGGAUGCCUCCUCCCCAGCCCCGGCCACAACCUUGGCCCAACCCCAACAGAACCAGACGCAGACUCACCAUACCACGCAGCAGACAUUCCUGAACCCGGCGCUGCCUCCUGGCUACAGUUACACCAGCCUGCCAUACUAUACAGGGGUCCCGGGCCUCCCCAGCACCUUCCAGUAUGGGCCUGCUGUGUUCCCUGUGGCUCCUACCUCUUCCAAGCAGCAUGGUGUGAAUGUCAGUGUGAAUGCAUCGGCCACCCCUUUCCAACAGCCGAGUGGAUAUGGGUCUCAUGGAUACAACACUGGU